rnacentral:lncRNA from 1 species
UCAAGAAGAGUAAUAUAAGAACUUUCCAUUACUUAAAGGUCAUAAUACAAAAAAAACACUUCAUAAAUACAUGUCAAGGUAUCUACACAUGAAAACAAAAGAAUCACAAGAUACUAUCUUCAAACUCCUUGCCAACUAUUCCCAUUAUAAACAAUGUUGUCUCUGAAAUUGGAAAAAAAAAAAUGAAUGAAAGCAAGGCUUCAUUUCGAUAACAUGAUAUUGUGCAUGAAAGAGUUUGAGAAAAAUCUAGCAUCAUCUUGAAAGAUGGCAGAAAUUGAAGUUGUACAUAUCAUGAGUGCGAGAAAUUUUACUUUUUAGGGUAUUCAACAUUCAAUAAAAACUUCUUUUCUCACUGCCGGGGGAAAUUGUCACUAAUCAUCUCCAUAUGUACAAU